rnacentral:rRNA from 1 species
GACGAACGCUGGCGGCGUGCUUAACACAUGCAAGUCGUACGGUAAGGCCCUUUCGGGGGUACACGAGUGGCGAACGGGUGAGUAACACGUGAGUAACCUGCCCACAACUUUGGGAUAACGCUAGGAAACUGGUGCUAAUACUGGAUAUGUGCUCCUGCUGCAUGGUGGGGGUUGGAAAGCUCCGGCGGUUGUGGAUGGACUCGCGGCCUAUCAGCUUGUUGGUGGGGUAGUGGCCUACCAAGGCGGCGACGGGUAGCCGGCCUGAGAGGGUGACCGGCCACAUUGGGACUGAGAUACGGCCCAGACGCCUACGGGAGGCAGCAGGGGGGAAUAUUGCACAAUGGGCGCAAGCCGGAUGCAGCAACGCCGCGUGCGGGAGAACGGCCUUCGGGUUGGAAACCGCUUUCAGCAGGGACGAAGCUUUUUGUGACGGUACCUGCAGAAGAAGCACCGGCUAACUACGUG